ensembl:lncRNA
ACAACUGUGACUAACUCCACAUGCCUGCUGGAAGUCAAUGGGAGCUCUGCUGUCAGUUCUCACUCUGGAACCGGGGCUGAAGGAGAAGCCACUAUGUGGAAUAUUGCCAGGCCAUGGCAGAGAGAAAGCAAGAGCCAAACAAAUUUUGUUCUAGUUCUUAGUUCUUAAAGUCUCCUAGUUCUCAAAGUUUCCUCUAUUUCUUUGACUGAACUGGGUCACACAGCCAGCCACAUCCAACUUCAGAAGCAGGAUUCUAUGUGACUAUAAGAAGAAUUGCUCCCUGGCCAACCUGCACGUGACAUAUGGCCCAGGCUACGUAAGGACCGGUUGAUGAUUUGCUUCUGGAACUGCACUGCAAGGCACCUGCCUAGUGUCUCAGAGUGAAAUCAUAUGUUUAAGUGACAGUAUCAGAACUGAACAUGUGAACCAACAGGCUCCUACAACUAUCGAUAUCUACAGUGUUAAAUACUCCUACCUUGACAGAUGUCAGGCUACUCAGCUGACAUCACUGAACGAGGACUUGGGAAAAGAUGAACGCACAGUAGCACAGCUGUUCUUUACCCUUCCCACCAUUCAGAUGCAGUUGAUGUAAAUAACUUAAAAAACAGAGAUAAUGGCCAAAGUAAAGAAAUCAUUAG